rnacentral:rRNA from 1 species
AGUGAACGCUGGCGGUAGGCCUAACACAUGCAAGUCGAACGGCAGCACAGUAAGAGCUUGCUCUUACGGGUGGCGAGUGGCGGACGGGUGAGGAAUACAUCGGAAUCUACUUUUUCGUGGGGGAUAACGUAGGGAAACUUACGCUAAUACCGCAUACGACCUACGGGUGAAAGCAGGGGAUCUUCGGACCUUGCGCGAUUGAAUGAGCCGAUGUCGGAUUAGCUAGUUGGCGGGGUAAAGGCCCCCCAAGGCGACGAUCCGUAGCUGGUCUGAGAGGAUGAUCAGCCACACUGGAACUGAGACACGGUCCAGACUCCUACGGGAGGCAGCAGUGGGGAAUAUUGGACAAUGGGCGCAAGCCUGAUCCAGCCAUACCGCGUGGGUGAAGAAGGCCUUCGGGUUGUAAAGCCCCUUUGUUGGGAAAGAAAAGCAGCAGGUUAAUACCCCGCUGUUCUGACGGUACCCAAAGAAUAAGCACCGGCUAACUUCGUG